rnacentral:lncRNA from 1 species
AGCUCUUUCUGGAGCCAGGAAACCGCACCUGUCUGUAUGCUGGAAGGUUUAUCACCUUUGCAAAUUAACAAGUUUCAUUUCCAUGGAGAUUAGGAAGAUGCAGCAGAAAGCAGCCAAGGGAAAAUCAUGGAAGACCGAGGGAAAAAGGAUCACUGCCUGCAAGUGUCCUUGUGAGAUGGUAAGUUCACCUCUGGAAAAAUGCCCAAAAAUAUGAACCACUCUCAACUUUUCUAUA